AGUGUGCAGGCAGUAAACUCCCAGCCACCCCUAGCUCCCUCACCUCUGCCUGCCUGUAGAGAGUGUGUAUUUUCACCUUCUGUGAGAGCCACAGGAGCCUGUCCUGCAUGCUAAUACCAUCCCUGCCUGUCUUGGCCCUGAGUCUGUUCCAAGCUUCAGUGAGGGAGUCUUCUGCCCACUCAGAGCCUCUCCUGCCCAGUCUGCUCACUCUGGGAACCUACCUCCCAGCUUGGGUAAUUAGGGAAGGUGCCUGAAGGCUACAGUUAUCAUCCUUGCCUCGGUACAACUUCCCAUCCAAUCAUCCUGUCCUGCUACAGAAGUUCACUGCUGAGAAGAUGAAGGUCAGUGGGGAUGGGGCAGACUCAGGCCAUAUGUACACAGUUCAAAUACUGGUCUAUCAUUUCUGAGACUGACUUUAUCAUCUAGAGUCUCUUAUCAUGAGCUUGUAUUGUGCCAUCUGCAGUACCCAGGUCUUGGGGAACAGAUCUGUUUGAAAUUUUGCCCUCCAGCCUGUCCCUUCACCAUCAUUAAACACACCUUGAAGUGGGAUUUACCAGAAAGCAGAAAGCCAUGAGGCUUCCCCUACCUCUUCUCAUCAUGGUAGUUGAUGACUUCUGAGCUGUCACUCACUGGAUAGCAGUGUAACAGCAGUCCAUCCUGUCCCAUUUGGAAAGUGGAGUCCUGGUGCUGACUCUGCCUCAACUGUUGUCACCUUUUCUAACAAACACAAGUGGAGAAAAUGAGUAGAAAAUAAUGGACAUAUCCCCCUCUGAGAAUACCACUUCCCAGUCUCCCACUGUCCUUUGCCUUCAUGCCUCUCUCCUUCCCUGAAAGUUUAUCCCUCAAGGCUGGUCACAGAUUUCCAGCAACUCCUUCUAAUUCAGGGUCCUUAUUGUUGGGUUUCCUUUUUAUUCUUCUUUUCCAUGGAUGCUUUUUUCCUGCCCUAACAUGACAUUUGAAGGAUAGUGGGAAGGAGUCAUCUUAGAGAUCUGUGGAGUUAGUCAAGGUAUCACAGUGUUCCAUUCCUCUAUCUUAUUGCAGAUGGAAACCUAUACUUAAGAACUGUGGCAUGCAAAAAGAAAAAGAACAAAACUGAGAUAACAUCUUUUUCUGCUGGUCCUCAACCAAUCAAAUCUCAGUUAUAAAAGAAAAACUGUGGGGAGAUUCUUCCUGUGAUUUCUAAUUGAAGUGUUAGCAUUUUGCUACCCUCAAAGCCAAACAAGAUUUAGGGAGGGUGGCCUCAAUUAAACCAGCUAUCUAAUCACAGAGCUUGAAAUACUUUUCAUGUCUGCAUCAGCAGAAUCUGGAAGAAGAGAAGUUAUACAGUUGCCCAGCAGAGAUGCCCCUUUGCUGUCUCAGCCUGGAUGCCUGUGGCAACAGUUUCAGUAGGAACAGCCCACCUGCAAGUCUUCCUGUCAGCAUCAUUGGAUCCUGGGAACCCACAAUUUCCUGCUCUUCUCCAAGUUCUGGAUAGCCAAACCACAAGGAAACCCUCUAAGGCAGAAAGCCACGAGUUGAUCAUGAAAAGUACCAGGGAAGGGCCAAUGGGAUGGCUAGGUGGGUGGAAGGAAAGAGCUGACUCCUCCUAAUUUGUUCAUUGACCUCCAUAUGAACAGAAUGACAGAAUGGCA